GGUACUUGUACCGACUGGAUGAGCAGCGAACGGGUGAGUAACGCGUGGGGAAUCUGCCUUUGAGCGGGGGACAACAUUUGGAAACGAAUGCUAAUACCGCAUAAAAACUUUAAACACAAGUUUUAAGUUUGAAAGAUGCAAUUGCAUCACUCAAAGAUGAUCCCGCGUUGUAUUAGCUAGUUGGUGAGGUAAAGGCUCACCAAGGCGAUGAUACAUAGCCGACCUGAGAGGGUGAUCGGCCACAUUGGGACUGAGACACGGCCCAAACUCCUACGGGAGGCAGCAGUAGGGAAUCUUCGGCAAUGGACGAAAGUCUGACCGAGCAACGCCGCGUGAGUGAAGAAGGUUUUCGGAUCGUAAAACUCUGUUGGUAGAGAAGAACGUUGGUGAGAGUGGAAAGCUCAUCAAGUGACGGUAACUACCCAGAAAGGGACGGCUAACUACGUGCCAGCAGCCGCGGUAAUACGUAGGUCCCGAGCGUUGUCCGGAUUUAUUGGGCGUAAAGCGAGCGCAGGUGGUUUAUUAAGUCUGGUGUAAAAGGCAGUGGCUCAACCAUUGUAUGCAUUGGAAACUGGUAGACUUGAGUGCAGGAGAGGAGAGUGG
rnacentral:rRNA from 1 species